rnacentral:sRNA from 1 species
UUUAGUAAGCGUAAGCCCCGCCGCCCCCCUCUGGCGGGGUUCCCCCCCUCGAAAAACAGACUGGCCCCGCCUCCUCAAGAGGCGGGGCCUUUUUCUUGGC